GCCAAUGCAGUGUAGUGGUUUGAGCGUUGGACUAGGACUCUGGAGAGCAGGGUUCAAAUCCCGCCUUGGCC